AAGACUGAUUGAAAGCUCAAAAGUUGGAUUUGAUCGAUAUCUCGUUCUUUGGCUUUUCCAACCUUUCAAUUAAUGUAAACUGCAAUGCAUACAUUGAUUACUUCCAUUUUAUAGUUGAAUAUAGAGUAACUUCCCUUUUGAGUGGAUUCCAACAAGUAGUUAGGACUUAUUGAUGAUGCAUAUUGAUCAUGCAUAUGUGCUGUUAGCAUCAAAGCUUCAAGAUCGGCCGUGGCCGUUAUCGAUUCCUCCCUGCACAGAUUCGUGGCCACAAGAACUAGCCAAGAAAUGGAGGCAAUUCAAAACAUCAAAUUGUGCACACAUGCACAUACAUGAAGCAUGUGAGCAUGCUCAUGCAUAUCUUGGAAGGUGAAGACAAUGCAAAGGUGGUUGGUCAGGUUAGG
rnacentral:lncRNA from 1 species